GACGUAGGGCGCGAGCGUUGUCCGGAUUUAUUGGGCGUAAAGAGCUCGUAGGCGGCUUGUCGCGUCGGCCGUGAAAACCUGCAGCUUAACUGUGGGCUUGCGGUCGAUACGGGCAUCACUGGAGUUCGGCAGGGGAGACUGGAAUUCCUGGUGUAGCGGUGAAAUGCGCAGAUAUCAGGAGGAACACCGGUGGCGAAGGCGGGUCUCUGGGCCGAUACUGACGCUGAGGAGCGAAAGCGUGGGGAGCGAACAGG
rnacentral:rRNA from 1 species